CAAGUACUCCCUCUGUCUGAAAAUACUUGUCAUCAAAAUGGAUAAAAAAGAUGUAUCUAGAACUAAUAUACAUCUAGAUACAUCCCCUUUUAUUCAUUUUGAUGACAAGUAUUUCCGGAUGGAGGGAGUACUAC
rfam:Triticum aestivum genome assembly, contig: Triticum_aestivum_CS42_TGACv1_scaffold_080355_1DS